rnacentral:rRNA from 1 species
GUCCACGCCGUAAACGUUGAGUACUAGGUGUUGGGGAUAACCUCAGUGCCGCAGUUAACGCAUUAAGUACUCCGCCUGGGUAGUACGCACGCAAGUGUAAAACUCAAAGGAAUUGACGGGGACCCGCACAAGCGGAGGAGCAUGUGGUUUAAUUCGAGGCAACGCGAAGAACCUUACCAGGGCUUGACAUACUAGGCAAAGCUAUAGAGAUAUAGUGGAGGUUAACCUAGAUACAGGUGGUGCAUGGUU